AAUUAUCCUCAGGGUAAUUGCUGUCAGAGUUGCAAUGUGACAUGUGCUUUAAAUUUGGUUACUGUAGGUCUUGAAUUGGGAAAAUAACAUUAUUUUACAGAUUUGGGCAUUUAAAAAAGUGAACAAUGCAUCUGGGGUUUGGUGCUGAUCUAAUUAAACUUGUGAGGCUGCAAAGGAUUCAUCCCCACCCAGUGAGAAGCAGCCAGGUUGCAGUUGCUGUGGGAACAGCGCCACCAACCAGGGAAGCACUAAGAAGGUCAUGUUUUUGCUUCUGUUCCAUUCCAACACCUUUGGGAUGCAAGUCGUAGAUAUCGGUUUAAUGAAUGAAUUCAUCUGUGGUUGAAACAAGUAUACAACUCUUCUCUUACCCAGAUAGUAAGCUCCAUUCUAUUGGAGGACCUUGUAUAAUUCAACUUUGCUAAAUUAGCGGCAUAUGCUCUACUCCCUUAAGGCACUGCACACAUUGUUCCCUGCAGGAGUCUUUCCUGCAGCUCUGUUCAUGAGCUGCCUCACACUCUCACCUCCUAUGGCUCCACGGUAACCAGAGUCAUCUUUCCUUUCCUUGACAAUGUUCUCCUGCUUCAAAACCACUUCUGCCGUGUGUCUGUUGAGGUUUCAUGGUGUCUGUUGUUCAGGAAAAUAUCUCCAGUCAGCUCAGAAUCCCCUUCUAAACCCAUCCAACACUCCUACAAGUUUUUGAAAAAGGCCUAGUGGCCUCACUCGUUUGGUCUUGGAAUUCUCUGUUGGUGUCUCCUCUGUGG
rnacentral:lncRNA from 12 species